CUACUACUACUACUAGUAAUAAUAAUUAUGAUGAUAAACGUAAUAAAAAAAAUAAUAAUUAUAAUACGAAUAAAUUGUGUCUGAGGAGUCAGUUAUGUGGAGGAGAUGAGUUUGUAAAAGUUAGUUUUGAGUAUGUUUGUGAAGGAGGAGGUGAGUCUGAGCUUAAUGCAGGGGUGUCACAUGUUCCAACUUACGUUUUUUUCUUGACAUGCUGCCGCCUGGCUGUGCCUAACUACCAAAGACUCACAAAUGAACACUUAUUCAAAUGUUAUGUAAUGGAAGCUGAGCUGAGCUCUGAUAUUACACAGCGUCUAGUUGACGAUGUGACUCAGUACCGGUGUUCCCUAGCGGCUCCAAACUAGCAAAACAACGUGAGCACGUUCUGACUGUUUACAACUUGAGUGACAGCAGCAACAGCCAAUAAUACGUUAGCAAGUAUCAGCAGAGCCAAUAGAUUAGCUUUUGGGUGGGUCUAAUAGGAAACCGGUUUCCGUUUCGGUCCUAGUGCUCAACCAAAUCCAUUUAAUGGAGCGUAAUAUUGUUUUUGGACGGAAAAAAGUGCAGGGGACCAAAACUGCCUUUUGAAAAAGUGGGGGGGACAUGUCCCACCCGUCCCCCCCCAAAAUUACGUCCCAGCCUUUAGGCUUGAUUUGAAUGGUAUACUGUAAGAACAUCAGCUGGAUAAAUGUAGUCUUGUUCCUACAAGGCUGUGAAAGGGUGGAACACUCCUUCCAGGUUGGGAAUGAAUUUCUUUUAUCAGGCUGACUUGACGAUGAGUGAUGGUGGUAUGGAGGAAGAGCAAUGAAGAUGAGCUUCUUCUGUAGCAAGGAUGGAGCUGAGUCAAAAGACAAAUAGAUUUAUUGGGUCAUCUGCAUUCCUAACAGGGGUGGUUCUAGGUGGGGUCCAGGAUGGGCCAGUGCCGCCCUGAUAGCCAGCUUGGAACCCCCUCUGUGCCCCCUGAGUAACACUGAGCAGUUUCCUGCUUCUCCACACUACUGGUUGAAAGUGGACUUACAAGUGUCGUAAACAACCGUGCUGCAGCUCGCGCCAACAACGAGCCAGCUCUGACAUGAGCCAACUAAUACUAAAUUAAACCAUGCAGUAGAAGCAUCCAAACUGUUGGACUAAAUAUAUUACAAGUUCUGUAGCAACAAGGCCAGUCUGCGAUUUCUAGUCUCCUUAAGCUCCCUCA
rnacentral:lncRNA from 1 species